rnacentral:rRNA from 1 species
UACGUAGGGUGCAGGCGUUAAUCGGAAUUACUGGGCGUAAGGCGUGCGCAGGCGGCUCCUUAAGUCAGAUGUGAAAUCCCCAGGCUUAACCUGGGAACUGCAUCCGAUACUGGAUGGCUUGAAUUCGGGAGAGGGAUGCAGAAUUCCAGGUGUAGCGGUGAAAUGCGUAGAUAUCUGGAGGAAUACCGGUGGCGAAGGCGGCAUCCUGGACCGACAUUGACGCUGAACGGCGAAAGCUAGGGGAGCAAACGGG